rnacentral:ncRNA from 2 species
UAAAAUAGAAGUCUCCGAGCCCCUGGCGCCUAACGGUCGCCCACGGCACAGGGGCCGCAGGGUGCGGGCGGAAACGCCCGCGCCUCCCCGCGGAGGUUCUGCCGCUGAUACACGGUGUAGCGGUCAGAACACUUGCAUUGGAAAGGAGAUGGUAUGGUUGACCC